rfam:Triticum aestivum genome assembly, contig: Triticum_aestivum_CS42_TGACv1_scaffold_375068_5AL
GAUGUACUCCCUCCGUCCAGAAUUACUUGUCGCCAAAAUGGAUAGAAAUGGAUGUAUCUAGAACUAAUAUACGUCUAGAUACAUCUAUUUCUAAGACAAGUAAUUCCGGACGAAGGGAGUAUUUG